rnacentral:rRNA from 2 species
AUGCUGGAGGUAUCAGAAGUGCGAAUGCUGACAUAAGUAACGAUAAAGCGGGUGAAAAGCCCGCUCGCCGGAAGACCAAGGGUUCCUGUCCAACGUUAAUCGGGGCAGGGUGAGUCGACCCCUAAGGCGAGGCCGAAAGGCGUAGUCGAUGGGAAACAGGUUAAUAUUCCUGUACUUGGUGUUACUGCGAAGGGGGGACGGAGAAGGCUAUGUUGGCCGGGCGACGGUUGUCCCGGUUUAAGCGUGUAGGCUGGUUUUCCAGGCAAAUCCGGAAAAUCAAGGCUGAGGCGUGAUGACGAGGCACUACGGUGCUGAAGCAACAAAUGCCCUGCUUCCAGGAAAAGCCUCUAAGCAUCAGGUAACAUCAAAUCGUACCCCAAACCGACACAGGUGGUCAGGUAGAGAAUACCAAGGCGCUUGAGAGAACUCGGGUGAAGGAACUAGGCAAAAUGGUGCCGUAACUUCGGGAGAAGGCACGCUGAUAUGUAGGUGAAGUCCCUCGCGGAUGGAGCUGAAAUCAGUCGAAGAUACCAGCUGGCUGCAACUGUUUAUUAAAAACACAGCACUGUGCAAACACGAAAGUGGACGUAUACGGUGUGACGCCUGCCCGGUGCCGGAAGGUUAAUUGAUGGGGUCAGCGCAAGCGAAGCUCUUGAUCGAAGCCCCGGUAAACGGCGGCCGUAACUAUAACGGUCCUAAGGUAGCGAAAUUCCUUGUCGGGUAAGUUCCGACCUGCACGAAUGGCGUAAUGAUGGCCAGGCUGUCUCCACCCGAGACUCAGUGAAAUUGAACUCGCUGUGAAGAUGCAGUGUACCCGCGGCAAGACGGAAAGACCCCGUGAACCUUUACUAUAGCUUGACACUGAACAUUGAGCCUUGAUGUGUAGGAUAGGUGGGAGGCUUUGAAGUGUGGACGCCAGUCUGCAUGGAGCCGACCUUGAAAUACCACCCUUUAAUGUUUGAUGUUCUAACGUUGACCCGUAAUCCGGGUUGCGGACAGUGUCUGGUGGGUAGUUUGACUGGGGCGGUCUCCUCCUAAAGAGUAACGGAGGAGCACGAAGGUUGGCUAAUCCUGGUCGGACAUCAGGAGGUUAGUGCAAUGGCAUAAGCCAGCUUGACUGCGAGCGUGACGGCGCGAGCAGGUGCGAAAGCAGGUCAUAGUGAUCCGGUGGUUCUGAAUGGAAGGGCCAUCGCUCAACGGAUAAAAGGUACUCCGGGGAUAACAGGCUGAUACCGCCCAAGAGUUCAUAUCGACGGCGGUGUUUGGCACCUCGAUGUCGGCUCAUCACAUCCUGGGGCUGAAGUAGGUCCCAAGGGUAUGGCUGUUCGCCAUUUAAAGUGGUACGCGAGCUGGGUUUAGAACGUCGUGAGACAGUUCGGUCCCUAUCUGCCGUGGGCGCUGGAGAACUGAGGGGGGCUGCUCCUAGUACGAGAGGACCGGAGUGGACGCAUCACUGGUGUUCGGGUUGUCAUGCCAAUGGCACUGCCCGGUAGCUAAAUGCGGAAGAGAUAAGUGCUGAAAGCAUCUAAGCACGAAACUUGCCCCGAGAUGAGUUCUCCCUGACUCCUUGAGAGUCCUGAAGGAACGUUGAAGACGACGACGUUGAUAGGCCGG